rnacentral:rRNA from 1 species
GCUGCAUGGUUGUCGUCAGCUCGUGCCGUGAGGUGUCAGGUUAAGUCCUAUAACGAGCGCAACCCCUGUGGUUAGUUACCAGCAUGUAAUGAUGGGGACUCUAGCCAGACUGCCGGUGCAAACCGUGAGGAAGGUGGGGAUGACGUCAAAUCAUCACGGCCCUUACGCCUUGGGCUACACACGUGCUACAAUGGUAUAUACAAUGAGCAGCCAUCUGGCGACAGAGCGCUAAUCUAUAAAGUAUAUCACAGUUCGAAUCGGAGUCUGCAACUCGACUCUGUGAAGCUGGAAUCGCUAGUAAUCGCACAUCAGCCAUGGUGCGGUGAAUACGUUCCCGGGCCUUGCACACACCGCCCGU